GACGAACGCUGGCGGCGUGCUUAACACAUGCAAGUCGAACGAAGUGGCGAACGGGUGAGUAAUACGUGAGUAAAAUGCCCUCCUUUUUGGGAUAAGCCUUGGAAACGAGGUCUAAUAACGAAUAAAGGGGGUAGGGCUCGAGGACUAUCAGUUUGUUGGUGGGGUGAUGGCGUACCAAGGCGGUAACGGGUAGCCGGCCUGAGAGGGUGACCGGCGACAUUGGGACUGAGGUACGGCCCAGACGCCUACGGGAGGGAGCAGUGGGGGAUAUGGGACAAGGGGCGAAAGACUGAUGCAGCGACGCCUCGUGGGGGAUGAAGGCUUUCGGGUUGUAAACCUCUUUCGCUAUCGAAGGGGUAGGUGGAGAAGAAGCGCCGGCUAACUACGUGCCAGCCGCCGCGGUAAUUC
rnacentral:rRNA from 1 species